CCUACGGGCGGCAGCAGUGAGGAAUAUUGGUCAAUGGGCGAGAGCCUGAACCAGCCAAGUCGCGUGAGGGAGUACUGCCCUAUGGGUUGUAAACCUCUUUUGUCGGGGAGCAAAAGCCGGACGUGUACGGCUGUGAGAGUACCCGAAGAAAAAGCAUCGGCUAACUCCGUGCCAGCAGCCGCGGUAAUACGGAGGAUGCGAGCGUUAUCCGGAUUUAUGGGGUUGAAAGGAUGCGCAGGUGGAUUUUUAAGUCAGCGGUCAAAUCGUGGGGCUAAACCCCAUCCAGCCGUUGAAACUGGGGAUCUAGAGUGUGCGAGAGGUAUGCGGAAUGCGUGGUGUAGCGGUGAAAUGCAUAGAUAUCACGCAGAACCCCGAUUGCGAAGGCAGCAUACCGGUGCACAACUGACGCUCAGGCACGAAAGCGUGGGUAUCGAACAGGAUUAGAUACCCCAGUAGUC
rnacentral:rRNA from 1 species